GUGUGUGUGUGUGUUUAAGAGCAUCCUGUAACCAGAAACGCUUCAUGUUGUGAUAUACAGGAGGUAUUUUUGAACCUGAAAUUGGAUGGCCAAUUUAUAAGGAACACCUGCACACCUGGCCAAUUAUGCAAUUAUCCAAUCAGCCAAUCACACAGCAGCAGGAAUCUCCAUAAUCAAUAGGUUACAAACAGUGUUAUACAACAGUGUUGUGGUAACAGUUUGGAGAAGACUCAUGUCUGGGUAGGUGUCCUAAUACUUUUGGAUAUAUAUAGUAUAUAGUGAGUGUGCUUAUAAAAGAUUUCUUGUUAUUUGGUUAUGUUUAGUGGAGAUGUGAUGCAGGACGCACUGCUCCUCUCAGCCCUGUGAUUGAGAUUCAGUGUGAGACAGAGCUACAGCAGGUCCUCUUCUCUUGAUAAUGACCUAAAGGGCUCUUGACAUUCAGCAGCUGUGCAGUUUGUACGUGCAAGUUCACACAGGCUUCCGUGAUGUCAGAAGAUGACGAACGGCAUCCAGAGACGAGGGUUUCCGUGGCCAUCGCCAUGCCAACCGUCUCCAACCGAACGCCCACGCGGCCGAGGGUUCUACCCAGAGGACCCUGAGCUCAGGCUCUCCGCUUUGUUCUCACACAGUGUGCGUGGGGGUGAAACGUCAGGAUUCACGCUCGCCGAGUCGCAGGCGAUCCAAUUAUUCCCUUUAAUAAAGGGGUUGCUUAUUUAAC